GUGGGCUACCAACAGUCCAGGUUUUGUUAGUAUCUCCAUUUGAAUAAAAAAGGGAAAUACAGAAAUCCUGGACUGUUGGUGGUCCAUAGGAUUG